rnacentral:rRNA from 1 species
UAGGGAAUAUUGGUUAAUGUGCGAAAGCGCGAACCAGCAACGCCGCGUGUGCGAUGAAGGCCUUCGGGUCGUAAAGCACUUUUUGCAGGGAAGAGGAAGGGCGGUACCUGCAGAAUAAGUCUCGGCUAACUACGUGCCAGCAGCCGCGGUAAAACGUAGGAGACGAGCGUUAUCCGGAUUUACCGGGCGUAAAGCGCGUGCAGGCGGCAUGGCAAGUUGGAUGUGAAAGCUCCCGGCUUAACUGGGAGAGGUCGUUCAAUACUGCCAGGCUUGAGCGUGGUAGAGGGAAGCGGAAUUCCGGGUGUAGUGGUGAAAUGCGUAGAUAUCCGGAGGAACACCAGUGGCGAAAGCGGCUUCCUGGCCCAUUUCUGACGCUCAGACGCGAAAGCUAGGGUAGCAAACGG